CAGAGAGACCAGCGCCGAUCUCCUGCUUCCCCAUCACCAUGGAGGCUUCUCUUGCUGCCUGCAUCCUUGCUGCUCUCCUGGCUAUGGGGGCCUGUCUGCAGUGUGAGGUUUGCGAUGGACCAGGAACCAGCUGCAUGGGUGACCUACAGACCUGCG